rfam:Brochothrix phage A9, complete genome.
GCCCCGGUAACUCAAACGGAUAGAGUAUCAAACUUCUAAUUUGAAAGUUACAGGUUCGAGUCCUGUUCGGGGCA